AAUCAACGCUGGCGGCGUGCCUAACACAUGCAAGUCGAGCGCGAAAGGGGGCAACCCGACGUAGAGCGGCGAACGGGUGAGUAACGCGUGGGUGAUUUGCCUCCGAGUGGGAACGAACACCGGGAAACUGGUGCUAAUACCGCAUGACAUCCUCGGGUCGUACUGGGGAUCAAAGCUGGGGACCGCAAGGCCUAGCGCUUGGAGAGAAGCCCGCGUCCGAUUAGCUAGUUGGUGGGGAAUGGCCUACCAAGGCGACGAUCGGUAGCCGGCCUGAGAGGGCGGACGGCCACACUGGGACUGAGACACGGCCCAGACUCCUACGGGAGGCAGCAGUAGGGAAUAUUGCGCAAUGGCCGCAAGCUGACGCAGCAACACCGCGUGGGGAUG
rnacentral:rRNA from 1 species